UACAGAGGUCCCAAGCGUUGUUCGGAUUCACUGGGCGUAAAGGGUGCGUAGGUGGCCAGGUAAGUUCGGUGUGAAAGCUCGGAGCUUAACUCCGAAAUGGCAUUGAAUACUAUCUGGCUAGAGGUUCGGAGGGGAGACUGGAAUUCUCGGUGUAGCAGUGAAAUGCGUAGAGAUCCGGAGGAAUACCAGUGGCGAAGGCGGCACGCUGGGCCAUAACUGACGCUAAGACUCGAAAGCAUGGGUAGCGAACGGG
rnacentral:rRNA from 1 species